GGGUGGGGGUGGAGGGCAGGGCUUCCUGGACAUCAACAUGGAGAUCGCAGGACCAGAUAAUAAAGGACUCUGUAAAGGAGAUCGAGAGUCUAGAGGGAAGUACAUGUUGUCAGCCCACAUGGAUGGGACUGACAAGUUCUGCUUUUACUAAUAGUCUGUCCACUAUGACUCCAAAAAUCAUAAUGUUCACCAUUGACAUUAGGGAGGCUCCCAAAGGCCAAGACAUGGAGACAGAAGCUCAUCAUAACAAGCUAGAAGUGAGUAAUGAACUGGCAGUGAUAAUGACCACUGUGAAGCACGAACAGGAGGAGUACAUGGAAGUCUGGGAGAGAAUACACAGAGCCAUCAAUGACAACACAAACAGCAGAGUGGUCCUUUGGUCCUUCUUCCAAUGACAACACAAACAGCAGAGUGGUCCUUUGGUCCUUCUUUGAAGCUCUUGUUGUAGUUGCCAUGACACUGGGACAGAUCUACUACAUGAAGAGAUUUUUGUGAAGCCCUAAGGGUUGUUUAAAAGGCCUUUUCCUGUUACCCCAAAUUCAUGAUUUACUCAUUUACCAAACACCUUGGUCAUCAUAAUGUCAUCAGUUUAUACAUUGUUCUUAUCUGAACAUUCAUGACUUAUGUUUCUUUGUGAUUAGUAGCUGUUGGGGAAAACCUAUUUGAGAAAGUCAGAGUGAAAAUUUGACAUUUGAUUGACCUGUAAUUCUUACUUGAAAGCAGACCCAUUAUACAGGUCCUUCCAAGAAUCCAGAGGCUGUUAAUGGUGUAUGGGACUAUGGUCUUUAUUAUGUUUUUACCUUUGGUUUUUAUAAUAAAAUGCAGGUUAUCCAGGAAGUAGCCCACAGCCUGACAAUACUUGUUAACUGACUUCAUUCAUCAGAGGCUCAUUUUGUUAUUACAGCAACAGCGAUCUGAAUCCUGACCCUUGUGGCCCUGCCUCAGGGCAGAGACCUGAUGGGGCAUGUUACCCGUGUGGUCACUCACACUUUGUCUUGAGUUUGAUGUUAAGACUUUUCUCAUCACUUCACCCUAAAGUUUUAUAUUGAACCUUAGAACUGAUUCACCUAUAACUGAAUUGACAUAAACAGCCAAUAACUUAGCUGUCUGUUGAAUCCAGUUUCCCAAGUGUCAGAACAGACUGCUGUUUCCCUUGAGCUGCAUAGUCUGUCUAUUGUUGGCACUUAGGAAGAGCGAAUUCCUCACCUGGAAACCUGCAUUUCUCAAAACAAAGGGUUAAGCCUCUGGGAUUGCUGGCAGUGAUAGGCAGCCACUGUUAUGUUUUUAGUCAGUGGCCUUUAGGCCCUGGUCUUCAGUGUCAGCACUAGGGUUUGUUUGUCCUCUGGGGUCUUUCUCUUCUGGCACAUGCCAGUUUUGUUUAUAUAAAGUGAAGAUAGAAUCUUCUCUUCAUGAUAGAAGAACAUUCUAUGUUAGGUUUAACGAAAGGUGCUCUGCUUUGGGUGUGGGUGGUCCACACCCAAUCUGAUAACUGUUAGUUACCUGGAUAUCUUAUUUUUCUUUUUGGAUCUUACAAGGGAAAAACUACAAAUAACAAGUUUUAUAAAUUUAAUUUAAAUUUGUUACAGGUUUUUAUGUUUAGGACAAAUAAUUUUUCAACCAUUAGUGAUAACUUUGCAACAGUUUGUUGGUAAGGUGACUCACCAUAGGGCAGCUGUUGUAUGCUAAUUUGUGUUUGUGUGUGUAUAUAUAUAUAUAUAUAUAUAUAUAUAUAAACACUUCAGAAUUGAAUUAAAAUAUGUAAAUUUAA